GUUAGUUCGAUUAAGUUGUGUUUUCACUGACCAGCGUCGGUAUUCUGCGAUUUAAUCACUAAAACAGCAACUCUUUUGCAAAUAACUCGAAAACGAUGCCGGAUGCAAAACAAAUACUAGAGACUGAAAAGUGUCGCAACUGGACAAACAACUUUAGCAAAACUUGUUGGAACUCAGUGGCGCACCACAAAAAAGUUCCAGGUGGUAAAAGGGAGUAAAAAAUUACCACCCUGUAAGUUUUUCAAAUUCUUUGAAACAUUGAAGGGCGUAUCCCCUAGAGCAUAACCCACGCACGCUGCAUAUUAGCGGUGACUAUCAGAAAAACUGCAAAAUUUGGAGCGAAAAAACACACGACGGUUCAAUUUCAACACCCUGUAUCUCGGACAUAUGUUUAUAAACAAACUUUUUUGUUUAUUUUCCCGAUUAAACCGCAAGUCACCCGGUUUUAUUGUGCAAAUUUGCAAGAAUUCCAACAAUGAUCGAGUUCUUAGGGCAAAUACAGUGCGUCCCAAGAAAAUCCUGGGAGGACGCCCAUUUUGGAAAAAAUUUCUUAGCUACCAAAACCUUUUCAUUUACAGAGUGCAGACCGCCAUGGAUCCAAAAAACAUAUACAGGGUGUAAACAAAAACCCAAAAUCAACCACAUUUUCUACCCAUCCUGUAUAUACCUACUCAUAGACUGGCGUAAAACUAUACAGGGUGAGUCUUGGAAUGUAUAUGAAAUAUAAAUUCGGUUCAUUAAACAUUGCAAAGCCUA
rnacentral:lncRNA from 1 species